GACGAACGCUGGCGGCGUGCUUAACACAUGCAAGUCGAACGGAAAGGCCCUGCUUUUGUGGGGUGCUCGAGUGGCGAACGGGUGAGUAACACGUGAGUAACCUGCCCUUGACUUUGGGAUAACUUCAGGAAACUGGGGCUAAUACCGGAUAGGAGCUCCUGCUGCAUGGUGGGGGUUGGAAAGUUUCGGCGGUUGGGGAUGGACUCGCGGCUUAUCAGCUUGUUGGUGGGGUAGUGGCUUACCAAGGCUGUGACGGGUAGCCGGCCUGAGAGGGGGACCGGCCACAUUGGGACUGAGAUACGGCGCAGAAUCCUACGGGAGGCAGCAGUGGGGAAUAUUGCAGAAUGGGCGGAAGCCUGAUGCAGCAACGCCGCGUGCGGGAUGACGGCCUUCGGGUUGUAAACCGCUUUCGCCUGUAACGAAGCGGGAGUGACGGUAAUGGGUAAAGAAGCACCGGCUAACUACGUG
rnacentral:rRNA from 1 species